rnacentral:rRNA from 1 species
UACGUAGGGUGCGAGCGUUGUCCGGAAUUAUUGGGCGUAAAGGGCUCGUAGGCGGUUUGUCGCGUCGGGAGUGAAAUCCACUGGCUUAACUGGUGGCUUGCUUUCGAUACGGACAGACUGGAGGUAUGCAGGGGAGAACGGAAUUCCUGGUGUAGCGGUGAAAUGCGCAGAUAUCAGGAGGAACACCGGUGGCGAAGGCGGUCUCCUGGGGCAUUCUUGACGCUGAGACGCGAAAGCUGGGGGAGCAAACGGG